UACGUAGGGGGCUAGCGUUGUCCGGAAUCAUUGGGCGUAAAGCGCGUGUAGGCGGUCCGGUAAGUCCGCUGUGAAAGUCGAGGGCUCAACCCUCGAAUGCCGGUGGAUACUGUCGGGCUAGAGUGCGGAAGAGGCGAGUGGAAUUCCUGGUGUAGCGGUGAAAUGCGCAGAUAUCAGGAGGAACACCUAUUGCGAAGGCAGCUCGCUGGGACGUUACUGACGCUGAGGUGCGAAAGCGUGGGGAGCAAACAGG
rnacentral:rRNA from 1 species